CAGAUUAAUCUACACAGGUUAAAAAAUGAAUUCCAGUAACAUCUAAGCUUACAUUGAGGAUUCACAGAUGCAAACUGACCUGUUGCCUUCGGCACCUUCUCCAUGCCUUUCCCAUUGGGAUGGAAUUUCUCUCCUGUAACUACCUCAAGAGUGGCAGAUCACCAAGCAAUAAGCACACUUAUUUGGAGUCAUUGCCUCCUCACCAAAUAUGUAAGGUGUAUUGAUCAAAAAUAGACAGAAUAAACCGAUAAGUGAGGAGCUCA